AGAGUUUGAUCCUGGCUCAGGACGAACGCUGGCGGCGUGCUUAACACAUGCAAGUCGAACGGAAAGGCCCCUUCGGGGGUACUCGAGUGGCGAACGGGUGAGUAACACGUGGGUGAUCUGCCCUGCACUUUGGGAUAAGCCUGGGAAACUGGGUCUAAUACCGAAUAGGACCGCAUGCUUCAUGGUGUGUGGUGGAAAGCUUUUGCGGUGUGGGAUGGGCCCGCGGCCUAUCAGCUUGUUGGUGGGGUAAUGGCCUACCAAGGCGACGACGGGUAGCCGGCCUGAGAGGGUGUCCGGCCACACUGGGACUGAGAUACGGCCCAGACUCCUACGGGAGGCAGCAGUGGGGAAUAUUGCACAAUGGGCGCAAGCCUGAUGCAGCGACGCCGCGUGGGGGAUGACGGCCUUCGGGUUGUAAACCUCUUUCAGUAUCGGCGAAGCUCCAGGAUUUUUCUUGGGGUGACGGUAGGUACAGAAGAAGCACCGGCCAACUACGUGCCAGCAGCCGCGGUAAUACGUAGGGCGCGAGCGUUGUCCGGAAUUACUGGGCGUAAAGAGCUCGUAGGUGGUUUGUCACGUUGUCUGUGAAAACUCACAGCUUAACUGUGGGCGUGCGGGCGAUACGGGCAGACUGGAGUACUGUAGGGGAGACUGGAAUUCCUGGUGUAGAGGUGGAAUGCGCAGAUAUCAGGAGGAACACCGGUGGCGAAGGCGGGUCUCCGGGCAGUAACUGACGCUGAGGAGCGAAAGCGUGGGGAGCGAACAGGAUUAGAUACCCUGGUAGUCCAA
rnacentral:rRNA from 1 species